UUGUUUGAUCUUUGGAUUAGACGUUUACUGAGGUUGGGACCCAAUCGAUGAUAGUAAAUGAUGUUCAACAACCUGUGUGGGUGCUGAUACACUCAAGAUAGAGCCCCAAUUUUGUCCUGAUCUCGGACCGUUAGCGUACUCAGCCAUGCGGAUGAUUACUAAAAUCUUCUACCAACUCUCAUAAUGUGAACAUGACCUAUGGCUAGCAUCCAUGACUAAUAACCCUGAUUCAUAGGCAUGACCUACUACUGAUGUCUAUGACUAACAACUCUAAAUCAUAGAUUAGUGGACGGAUUUUAGUGACCUAUUAGGUCAUAACCUCCUAGGCCCCUAACAAUCUACCAAAUUCAAGUAUAACAGCCUACGAUUCUAUCUCAAUAUAAAAAGGUAAUAGGGGAAUUCUCAGAUAAGAGGCUUGACUCCAGAGCGAAACCCUACUCAUAUUCUCCUCUUUCCUCCUCUGACUAUUUCUUAAACUCCAAUUAACUUAAGCAUCGAUGGGUUUUCCAUUAGAUACACUCCGGCAUGUAGAUUUUCUUUGCAGAUCUAUCAAUCCUCAUGAGCGGCCUGCACACUUUGGAGCACUAGAUCGAUCUCUAGAUGCAUCCCUAUCAGGGUAUAGCGGUAACAGGAUUAUAAAUUGCAUUGCUCAUAUUUUAUUUUCUAUUAUUAUGUGAAAAAAAAUUUAAAUAUGACCAUUGAUCUUUAUAAAAUCAAUCCACAAUUUUCUCAUGCA
rnacentral:lncRNA from 1 species